rnacentral:rRNA from 2 species
CAGCCGCCGCGGUAAAACCAGCACCUCAAGUGGUCAGGAUGAUUAUUGGGCCUAAAGCAUCCGUAGCCUGCUUUGUUAGUUUUCGGUUAAAUCCAUACGCUCAACGUAUGGGCUGCCGGGAAUACUGCAAAGCUAGGGAGUGGGAGAGGUAGACGGUACUCGGUAGGAAGGGGUAAAAUCCUUUGAUCUAUUGAUGACCACCUGUGGCGAAGGCGGUCUACCAGAACACGUCCGACGGUGAGGGAUGAAAGCUGGGGGAGCAAACCGGAUUAGAUACCCGGGUAGUCCCAGCUGUAAACUAUGCAAACUCGGUGAUGCAUUGGCUUGAUGCCAAUGCAGUGCCGCAGGGAAGCCGUUAAGUUUGCCGCCUGGGAAGUACGUACGCAAGUAUGAAACUUAAAGGAAUUGGCGGGGGAGCAC